rnacentral:rRNA from 1 species
GGACUACAAGGGUUUCUAAUCCUGUUUGCUACCCACGCUUUCGCGCCUCAGCGUCAGUUGAUGACCAGUUUGCUGCCUUCGCCAUGGGUGUUCCUCCUGAUAUCAACGCAUUUCACCGCUACACCAGGAAUUCCACAAACCUCUUCAUCACUCCAGCUUGCCAGUAUGCGAAAUAGUUUCCAGGUUGAGCCUAGAGAUUUAGCUUCACACUUAACGAGCCGCCUACGCGCUCUUUACGCCCAGUAAAUCCGGACAACGCUUGGACCCUACGUCUUACCGCGGCGGCUGGCAC